AACGAUCAGUAGCCGACCUGAGAGGGUGAUCGGCCACAUUGGAACUGAGACACGGUCCAAACUCCUACGGGAGGCAGCAGUGGGGAAUAUUGCACAAUGGGCGAAAGCCUGAUGCAGCAACGCCGCGUGAGUGAUGAAGGCCUUCGGGUCGUAAAACUCUGUCCUCAAGGAAGAUAAUGACGGUACUUGAGGAGGAAGCCCCGGCUAACUACGUGCCAGCAGCCGCGGUAAUACGUAGGGGGCUAGCGUUAUCCG
rnacentral:rRNA from 1 species